CGAUUAGGUCGGGAACUCAAAGGAGACUGCCAGUGAUAAACUGGAGGAAGGUGGGGAUGACGUCAAGUCAUCAUGGCCCUUACGACCAGGGCUACACACGUGCUACAAUGGCGCAUACAAAGAGAAGCGACCUCGCGAGAGCAAGCGGACCUCAUAAAGUGCGUCGUAGUCCGGAUUGGAGUCUGCAACUCGACUCCAUGAAGUCGGAAUCGCUAGUAAUCGUGGAUCAGAAUGCCACGGUGAAUACGUUCCCGGGCCUUGUACACACCGCCCGUCACACCAUGGGAGUGGGUUGCAAAAGAAGUAGGUAGCUUAACCUUCGGGAGGGCGCUUACCACUUUGUGAUUCAUGACUGGGGUGAAGUCGUAACAAGGUAACCGUAGGGGAACCUGC
rnacentral:rRNA from 3 species